GUGGGGAAUAUUCCGCAAUGGACGAAAGUCUGACGGAGCAACGCCGCGUGAGUGAUGAAGGUUUUCGGACUGUAAAGCUCUGUUGUUUGGGACGAAAGUGCCUGUUGCGAACAGUUACGGGUAUUGACGGUACUAAACGAGGAAGCCACGGCUAACUACGUGCCAGCAGCCGCGGUAAUACGUAGGUGGCAAGCGUUGUCCGGAAUUAUUGGGCGUAAAGAGCAUGUAGGCGGGAAUCUAAGUCUGUUGUUAAAAUGCGGGGCUCAACCCCGAAUUGCGAUGGAAACUGGGUUUCUUGAGUGCAGGAGAGGAAAGGGGAAUUCCCAGUGUAGCGGUGAAAUGCGUAGAUAUUGGGAGGAACACCAGUGGCGAAGGCGCCUUUCUGGACUGUGUCUGACGCUGAGAUGCGAAAGCCAGGGUAGCGAACGGGAUUAGAAACCCUUGUAGUCC
rnacentral:rRNA from 1 species